ACGGAGGAUGCGAGCGUUAUCCGGAUUUAUUGGGUUUAAAGGGAGCGUAGGUGGGCUUCUAAGUCAGUUGUGAAAGUUUGCGGCUCAACCGUAAAAUUGCAGUUGAAACUGGUCGCCUUGAGUACAGUAGAGGUGCGCGGAAUUCGUGGUGUAGCGGUGAAAUGCUUAGAUAUCACGAAGAACUCCGAUUGCGAAGGCAGCGCACUGGACUGGGACUGACACUGAUGCUCGAAAGUGUGGGUAUCAAACAGG
rnacentral:rRNA from 1 species